AUCAUUACACAUGCAGUCGAGCGGUAAGGCCUUUCGGGGUACACGAGCGGCGAACGGGUGAGUAAUAAGUGGGUGAUCUGCCCUGCACUUCGGGAUAAGCCUGGGAAACUGGGUCUAAUACCGGAUAUGACCUCCUAUCGCAUGGUGGGUGGUGGAAAGAUUUAUCGGUGCAGGAUGGGCCCGCGGCCUAUCAGCUUGUUGGUGGGGUAAUGGCCUACCAAGGCGACGACGGGUAGCCGACCUGAGAGGGUGACCGGCCACACUGGGACUGAGACACGGCCCAGACUCCUACGGGAGGCAGCAGUGGGGAAUAUUGCACAAUGGGCGAAAGCCUGAUGCAGCGACGCCGCGUGAGGGAUGACGGCCUUCGGGUUGUAAACCUCUUUCAGCAGGGACGAAGCGCAAGUGACGGUACCUGCAGAAGAAGCACCGGCUAACUACGUGCCAGCAGCCGCGGUAAUACGUAGGGUGCAAGCGUUGUCCGGAAUUACUGGGCGUAAAGAGUUCGUAGGCGGUUUGUCGCGUCGUUUGUGAAAACCAGCAGCUCAACUGCUGGCUUGCAGGCGAUACGGGCAGACUUGAGUACUGCAGGGGAGACUGGAAUUCCUGGUGUAGCGGUGAAAUGCGCAGAUAUCAGGAGGAACACCGGUGGCGAAGGCGGGUCUCUGGGCAGUAACUGACGCUGAGGAACGAAAGCGUGGGUAGCGAACAGGAUUAGAUACCCUGGUAGUCCACGCCGUAAACGGUGGGCGCUAGGUGUGGGUUCCUUCCACGGAAUCCGUGCCGUAGCUAACGCAUUAAGCGCCCGCCUGGGGAGUACGGCCGCAAGGCUAAACUCAAGGAAUUGACGGGGCCCGCACAAGCGGCGGAGCAUGUGGAUUAUUCGAUGCACGCGAAGAACCUUACCUGGGUUUGACAUAUACCGGAAGCUGCAGAGAUGUGGCCCCUGUGUCGGUAUACAGGUGGUGCAUGCUGUCGUCGCUCUGUCGUGAGAUGUGGUAGUCCGCACGAGCGCACCCUAUCUUAUUGUGCAG
rnacentral:rRNA from 1 species